rnacentral:rRNA from 1 species
GGCGUCGAGCGGCGGACGGGUGAGUAAUGCCUAGGAAAUUGCCCUGAUGUGGGGGAUAACCAUUGGAAACGAUGGCUAAUACCGCAUGAUGCCUACGGGCCAAAGAGGGGGACCUUCGGGCCUCUCGCGUCAGGAUAUGCCUAGGUGGGAUUAGCUAGUUGGUGAGGUAAGGGCUCACCAAGGCGACGAUCCCUAGCUGGUCUGAGAGGAUGAUCAGCCACACUGGAACUGAGACACGGUCCAGACUCCUACGGGAGGCAGCAGUGGGGAAUAUUGCACAAUGGGCGCAAGCCUGAUGCAGCCAUGCCGCGUGUGUGAAGAAGGCCUUCGGGUUGUAAAGCACUUUCAGUCGUGAGGAAGGUAGUGUAGUUAAUAGCUGCAUUAUUUGACGUUAGCGACAGAAGAAGCACCGGCUAACUCCGUGCCAGCAGCCGCGGUAAUACGGAGGGUGCGAGCGUUAAUCGGAAUUACUGGGCGUAAAGCGCAUGCAGGUGGUUUGUUAAGUCAGAUGUGAAAGCCCGGGGCUCAACCUCGGAAUUGCAUUUGAAACUGGCAGACUAGAGUACUGUAGAGGGGGGUAGAAUUUCAGGUGUAGCGGUGAAAUGCGUAGAGAUCUGAAGGAAUACCGGUGGCGAAGGCGGCCCCCUGGACAGAUACUGACACUCAGAUGCGAAAGCGUGGGGAGCAAACAGGAUUAGAUACCCUGGUAGUCCACGCCGUAAACGAUGUCUACUUGGAGGUUGUGGCCUUGAGCCGUGGCUUUCGGAGCUAACGCGUUAAGUAGACCGCCUGGGGAGUACGGUCGCAAGAUUAAAACUCAAAUGAAUUGACGGGGGCCCGCACAAGCGGUGGAGCAUGUGGUUUAAUUCGAUGCAACGCGAAGAACCUUACCUACUCUUGACAUCCAGAGAACUUUCCAGAGAUGGAUUGGUGCCUUCGGGAACUCUGAGACAGGUGCUGCAUGGCUGUCGUCAGCUCGUGUUGUGAAAUGUUGGGUUAAGUCCCGCAACGAGCGCAACCCUUAUCCUUGUUUGCCAGCGAGUAAUGUCGGGAACUCCAGGGAGACUGCCGGUGAUAAACCGGAGGAAGGUGGGGACGACGUCAAGUCAUCAUGGCCCUUACGAGUAGGGCUACACACGUGCUACAAUGGCGCAUACAGAGGGCGGCCAACUUGCGAAAGUGAGCGAAUCCCAAAAAGUGCGUCGUAGUCCGGAUUGGAGUCUGCAACUCGACUCCAUGAAGUCGGAAUCGCUAGUAAUCGUGGAUCAGAAUGCCACGGUGAAUACGUUCCCGGGCCUUGUACACACCGCCCGUCACACCAUGGGAGUGGGCUGCAAAAGAAGUAGGUAGUUUAACCUUCGGGGGGACGCUUACCACUUUGUGGUUCAUGACUGGGGUGAAGUCGUAACAAGGUAGCGCUAGGGGAACCUGGCGCUGGAUCACCUCCUUA